rnacentral:rRNA from 1 species
UACGUAGGUGACAAGCGUUGUCCGGAUUUACUGGGCGUAAAGAGCGCGCAGGCGGUCGAUCAAGUCGAGUGUGAAAGCCCCCGGCUCAACUGGGGAGGGUCACGCGAUACUGAUCGACUCGAAGGCAGGAGAGGGAAGUGGAAUCCCGGUGUAGUGGUGAAAUGCGUAGAUAUCGGGAGGAACACCAGUGGCGAAGGCGACUUCCCGGCCUGUUCUUG